AUUGAACGCUGGCGGCAGGCUUAACACAUGCAAGUCGAACGAGUGGCGGACGGGUGAGUAAUGUCUGGGAAACUGCCUGAUGGAGGGGGUUAACUACUGGAACCGGUAGCAAAUACCGCAUACCAUCGGAUGAGCCCAGAUGGGAUUAGCUAGUAGGUGGGGGAAAGGCUCACCUAGGCGACGAUCCCUAGCUGGUCUGAGGGGAUGACCGGCCACACGGCACAUUGGACACGGUCCAGACCCCAGCGUGAGGCAGCAGUGGGGAAUAGGGGACAAUGGGCACAGGCCGAAUGCAGGCAUGCCGGGUGUAUGAAGAGGGACUACGGGUUGUAAAGUAUUUUCAGCGGGGAGGCGUAACCCGCAAAAGAAGCACCGGCUAACACCGUGCCAGCAGCGGGGGUAAUA
rnacentral:rRNA from 1 species